UAUCUCUGUAGAGUCUGCAUAUCAAUAAGCGGAGGAAAAGAAACUAACAAGGAUUCCCUUAGUAACGGCGAGUGAAGCGGGAAGAGCUCAAAUUUGAAAUCUUCAAGGUUUUACCUUGACGAAUUGUAGUUUAAAGAAGUGUUUUCUGUUGAAGUUUCGGUAAAAGUUCUUUGGAAUAGGACAUCAUAGAGGGUGAGAAUCCCGUAUUUGACCAGUUAUUUCCAGCUGUGUGAUACACUUUCAAAGAGUCGGAUUGUUUGGGAAUGCAGUCCAAAAUGGGUGGUAAAUUUCAUCUAAAGCUAAAUAUUGGCGAGAGACCGAUAGCGAACAAGUACCGUGAGGGAAAGAUGAAAAGAACUUUGAAAAGAGAGUUAAACAGUACGUGAAAUUGUCAAAAGGGAAGCGUUUGACACCAGUGUUGUUUUCUCGAAAAUCAAUUAAAAAUGGCUUGAUUUUGUGUUGUAUUGACCUUAAAAGCUUUCUUCACUUUUUUCAUGUCUUUUUUAAUGCACUUUUCGUUUAACAAGUCAACAUCAGUUUCUUUUGUUGUAAAAAGGUCAUUGGAAGGUGGCUUUCUUUUCGGAGAAAGUGUUUAUAGCCUUUGACUUCUGCAAUCGGAGAGACUGAGGUCUGCAGCGUAGAUCCUUCUGGAUUAGAUUCAUUUGUGCUAAGUUACAACCGUUUAUAGACAACUUGUUGACUAUAUUCGAUCCUGUAGCUUACUCGCUUAUGUAAUUUUACCUACGCUUAGGAUGUUGAUAUGCAUGACUGAUAU
rnacentral:rRNA from 1 species